AGGAAUUCUAAAGCAAAAAGG
rnacentral:miRNA from 1 species